rfam:Ixodes scapularis strain Wikel colony gcontig_1108379583830, whole genome shotgun sequence.
UCCUGGUUAGGUAACUUGGUAGAGCGCUCCACUGGAAAUGGAGAGGACCCUGGUUUGAUCCCAGGACCGGGCG